UGGCUCAGAUGGUAAAGCAUUUGCCUGCAAUGCAGGAGACCCAGGUUCAAUCCCUGG
rfam:Ovis aries breed Texel chromosome 10, whole genome shotgun sequence.